GCUGGUGUAGCUCAGUUGGUAGAGCAGCUGUCUUGUAAACAGCAGGUCGGCGGUUCAAGUCCGUUCACCAGCUCCA
rnacentral:tRNA from 1 species